CUCCUCGUGAACUACAGUAAACCUUCAAACAAUUAAAAUGUCGGACUCCGAGCUGUCAAUCCGUUCACGAAGCCCGUCACCGCAGGCGAAAAAGAAGAGCACAAAACAUAACAAAAAUAUUGCUGCUUCUUCUUCUUGGUAAUAAUCUCACAUUUUUUGGUAAUUAACUCUGAUCUACUAAGACUGGCUUGCGAGAUUUGUAUUGAUUUUUUUACUUAAUUUCACAGGUGUGAUUUUGAUCAAGGUGUGGUUGCUACACCUGUACCACAACCCUCACCUAGACGAAAGACGAGUGCUGCAAGCACAAGUGAAGCAGCAGGAAAGCGCAGGAAAACGACAUCAAGCGUGAGCAAGAAAAGUGGAACGGAUAUAUUCCAAAUUAUCAACCAGGAGGAGAAAUAUGCACCCGCUUCCUCCGCAAAGUCUACUACAUCAUCGUUCGGUAGCCGCGUAUCAUCUGGUACAUCACGCCGCACUGCUGUAAGAUCAGGUAAAUUUUUUAUUGACUUGAAGAUCUAUAAAAUAGAAGACGUUCAAAACGAAACGGAUCCCUUAGAACGUUACAAAAAGGCUUUAGUAACAGGUUAGACUUCAAUGUGAAACAAAAUCCGAGGAGUGGGAAAAGGCACAAGCAUUCAUUGGUACUGCGUACGAAAUUUUUAAAGAUUCCGAGACCACCUAUUUCCAAAACACUGUAAAAAAAUA